rnacentral:rRNA from 1 species
UGUGAUCGAGCAUGGAUAAUAAUCGGGCAUAAGUAUAUCGCCUAAGCUUUGGAAUUUAAUAUUGGUAGGGGAGCAUUGUAAAUAACGUAGAAGCUAUUUUGUGAAGAAUAGUGGAGUUUUUACAAAAGAAAAUGUAGGCAUAAGUAACGAUAAUGCAGAUGAGAGAUCUGCACACCGGAAGAUCAAGGUUUCCUCAGCUAUGUUAAUCAACUGAGGGUUAGUCAGGGCCUAAGAUUAAGUCGAAAGGCGAUGUCGAUGGAUAAGCGGUAAAAAUUCCACUACUUGCUUUUAUUGUGAUGGGGUGACGAAGAUGUUGAACCGUCGCGUGCAAAUGGACUUUCACGAAGAAGAAAACGGGAAUAAUAUUUUUGGUUAUAGCGUAUAUGUGCUGAGAUGCGAGAGUCCCGGUAAGUACGGCUCAAGGCUUCCAAGAAAACCCUCUAAACCUAAGAUAAAAGCAACCUGUACCAAAACCGACACAGCUGAUCAAGGAGAGGAAUCCUAAGGUGAUUGAGGGAAUCACGGCUAAGUAACUAGGCAAAAUAGACCUGUAACUUAGGGAGAAAGGUUGCCUUCUAAUUUUAGUUAGAUGUUAGGAGGGCCGCAGUGAAGAGAUCCAGACGACUGUUUAACAAAAACAUAGGGCUCUGCUAAAUCGAAAGAUGACGUAUAUGGCCUGAUACCUGCCCGGUGUUGGAAGGUUAAGGAAGAAGGUAACUAUUGUGAAGCUUUUUACUGAAGCCCCAGUAAACGGCGGCUGUAACUAUAACGGUCCUAAGGUAGCGAAAUUCCUUGUCAGGUAAGUUCUGACCUGCACGAAUGGUAUAACGGAUCUGGAUACUGUCUCAGCCGUGAGC